rnacentral:tRNA from 1 species
GACCGCGUAGCUCAGUUGGCAGAGCAUUGGGCUAGUAUUCCAAAGGUCGUAGGUUCGAUUCUCACCGUGGUCA